AUACUUACCUGGCAGGGGAGCUACCAUGAUCAAGAAUCAGGGCAAGGCUCAGCCAUUGCUCUCCGGUUGUGCUGACCCCUGCGAAGUCCCCAAAUGUGGGAAUCUCGACUGCAUAAUUUGUGGUAGUGGGGGACUGCGUUCGCGCUCUCCCCUU
rnacentral:snRNA from 1 species